AAGGUCAAGGUGCUCAAGGCUGAGGAUGAC
rnacentral:piRNA from 1 species